rnacentral:misc_RNA from 1 species
CACGUGGGGCGCAAGCGUUGCUCGGAUUCACUGGGCGUAAAGGGCGUCUAGGCGGCUUUUCAAGUCGCGUGUGAAAUCUCCACGGCUCAACCGGGAAAUUGCACGCGAUACUGUCAAGCUUGAGUGCGGUAGAGGGAAGCGGAAUUCAAGGUGUAGCGGUGAAAUGCGCAGAUAUCUUGGAGAACACCGAUGGCGUAAGCAGCUUCCUGGGCCUGCACUGACGCUGAAGCGCGAAAGCGUGGGUAGCAAACAGG